GUUCUACUCCCUCCGUUCGGAAUUACUUGUCGCAGAAAUUGAUGUAUCUAGACGUAUUUUAGUUCUAGAUACAUCCAUUUUCGCGACAAGUAAUUCCGAACGGAGGGAGUACAUA
rnacentral:pre_miRNA from 1 species